AGUAAAAGUCGUAACAAGGUCUCCGUAGGUGAACCUGCGGAGGGAUCAUUACAAGUGACCCCGGUCUAACCACCGGGAUGUUCAUAACCCUUUGUUGUCCGACUCUGUUGCCUCCGGGGCGACCCUGCCUUCGGGCGGGGGCUCCGGGUGGACACUUCAAACUCUUGCGUAACUUUGCAGUCUGAGUAAACUUAAUUAAUAAAUUAAAACUUUUAACAACGGAUCUCUUGGUUCUGGCAUCGAUGAAGAACGCAGCGAAAUGCGAUAAGUAAUGUGAAUUGCAGAAUUCAGUGAAUCAUCGAAUCUUUGAACGCACAUUGCGCCCCCUGGUAUUCCGGGGGGCAUGCCUGUUCGAGCGUCAUUUCACCACUCAAGCCUCGCUUGGUAUUGGGCAACGCGGUCCGCCGCGUGCCUCAAAUCGACCGGCUGGGUCUUCUGUCCCCUAAGCGUUGUGGAAACUAUUCGCUAAAGGGUGCUCGGGAGGCUACGCCGUAAAACAAACCCAUUUCUAAGGUUGACCUCGGAUCAGGUAGGGAUACCCGCUGAACUUAAGCAUAUCAAUAAGCGGAGGAAAAGAAACCAACAGGGAUUGCCUCAGUAACG
rnacentral:rRNA from 1 species